CCGUAAUGGUGAGAAGUUGGAGAAUGCGUUAUGGGGCGAGCGUAAGCUCGCUUUCGAUAAUUCCUGGAUUCCGUGAAACCUGCAUAGUUACAAUCUUGUUGUUCGUACCAAGAACCGACACAGGUGUCCCUAGGUGAGUAGCCUAAGGCGUGUUAGCAUAAUCGAGGCGAGGGAACUCGGCAAAUUAGCCCUGUAACUUCGGGAUAAGGGGUGCCAGUUGCGUGAGUAACUGGUCGCAGUAACAAGGGAACUCCGACUGUUUAAUAAAAACAUAGGUCGCUGCUAGUUCGAAAGGAUGUGUAUAGAGGCCGAAGCCUGCCCAGUGUCGGCAUCUGAAAAUCUGUUACAACGGAUCGAAGGACCGAUAAACGGCGGGGGUAACUAUGACCCUCUUAAGGUAGCGUAAUACCUUGUCGCUUAAUUGGCGACUUGCAUGAAGGCUCAACGAGAGUUCUACUGUCCCCGCCUCGACGCUAGUGAAAACAAUCAGUCUGGUGCACAAUCCAGACCCCUCCAUCUGAAAGCGAAGACCCCAUGGAGUUUCACUACAACCUGUUGUUGUGAUAUGAAUUUGCAUGUGUAGGGUAGGCGGGAGACGUUACCCAGGAAGGUGCGCUAGCAUCUCUCCGAGUCACCGAUGAAACACCGCCCUUGCGAAUUUGUACCACUAACCUUUACGAAGGGACAGCUAUAGGCAGGUAGUUCGGGUGGGGCGCCACGCCCUCAAAAAGAUAACAAGGGUGCCCAAAGGUUGGCUCAGGUAGGUCAGAAAUCUACCGAAGAAUGUAAGGGUAUAAGCCAGCUUGACUCGGAACCAGACAAUAGGGUUCGGAGAUAGGAAACUAAGGCUUAGCGAACCAAUCAACCUCCUGAGUGGGGGUGAUUGAUGUCAGAAAAAUUACCCUGGGGAUAAUUGAGUUGUCAGCAGCAAGAGUUCAUAUCGACCUGCUGGCUUGCUACUUCGCUGUCGGCUCUCCCUAUCCUGGUGGUGCAGCAGCUGCCAAGGGUGGGGUUGUUCGCCCAUUAAAAGGGAUCGUGAGCUGGGUUUAAAACGUCGCGAGACAGUUUUGUUGCUUUUUGAUGGAGGUGUAGGUACCUGACGAGAAGGACCCUUUAGUACGAGAGGAACAGGGGUUCGUCGCCUCUAGUUUAUCAGUUGUCUGACAAGGCAAGCUGAGUAGCCACGCGGUAGUGGAUAAGAGCUGAAGGCAUCUAAGCUCGAAGCCAUCUUAAAAAAGAGGUACCCAUAGAACGCUCAUAAAUGAUGAGUUUGAUAGAAGUGGGGUGUAAGUACCGAGGUUUUCCGAGGUAUUCAGCCCGCACUCACUAAAGUUCUUUUGACGUC
rnacentral:rRNA from 1 species